rnacentral:lncRNA from 1 species
UUUGAUGUAUGCCACAACAUCUGGCACCAAAGUGACUGUUUGCGUCAAGUUCUAGCACCAUCAGUGUAAUUGACUCACCAUUUUUCUAUUUCCCAUUAAAAUAGGAAGCCCACUUACAUGGCUCGACCCACAUCAAUAAUUCUGGCACAUGUGACGUAGGGACAAUCCAAACAUUUGGAGAAACGCACCCUCCUUUAGUAGAUAUAGAAUUAAGGAAUAUUUGGUAGAUUCUCAACCUCUUGCAUUGCCCAUUGUCAAGUCAUCAUACUACUCAACAUUAUUAUUUGUUACACACACCCUAUGAUAGUUGCAACAUGUUUCUUAUUCAACACUCACAUUGGCAUGUACAAGCUCCGAAGAAUAGGUAACAAAACCCUUCGAUAGAGCCCUCCUUGUGGCAUGCAUCAACACAAGGAUCAUGCUUGCAUGGUACAGACGUAUAGGUCCGGCUAUCUCGAGUGCACAUCUUUGCUUCCGAACCUACAAAAUAACCACAUAAUUUUUUGUACAAAAAGAAAUUCAGAUCUUAUGAUGUUCCACAAAAGGAACAGGAUAAAAAGUUGUGGCAUGGAGUACGAAAUUCACAGAGGAGGAAACAAAGUAUAAAACAUGCAUUGAUGAAGUUCCUUGUUCUUCAUGUGAAAUUUUCAGACAACGCUUACCAGGAACUAAAAGUGGCAAAGCAAGAACAGGCAUAACAGUCCUGUCAUCUUGACCACUCCCAUGACUCCAAGAAUAAAUAGUCCCGAAAGCAAGUAAGCAAGCAUGAAAUUGACGCAUCAGAAGAGGCCACACCCUAUCUUAUAGCCUCGAAAGAUGAGUCCUAAAAAAGUCAAAGAAAUGAUUAUGUGAUCCUAUCUAGAAGAUAUGCAUAUUGCAAUUCUGAUAUUCUAUCUGAAAGAUUUGGCUAUAUCUGCAUGGAAGCCAUUAUGAAAGAAGAUACGACCACCAAAUUUAUGGAGUAUAAUACUGUAAACAUUUAACUUUUACAUGCAUGCUACAAUUCUGAUAUUCUAUCGACAUGCGGCUCUAUCUGCAUGAAAACCAUUAUGAAAGAAGAUACGGAC